GCCGGUGUAGCUCAGUAGGUAGAGCGCCUCUCUUGUAAAGAGGAUGUCGCGGGUUCGACUCCUGUCACCGGCUCCA
rnacentral:tRNA from 1 species